rnacentral:rRNA from 1 species
ACAAUGAAGAGUUUGAUCCUGGCUCAGGAUGAACGCUAGCUACAGGCUUAACACAUGCAAGUCGAGGGGCAUCAGGAAGAAAGCUUGCUUUCUUUGCUGGCGACCGGCGCACGGGUGAGUAACACGUAUCCAACCUGCCCUUUACUCGGGGAUAGCCUUUCGAAAGAAAGAUUAAUACCCGAUGGCAUAAUGAUUCCGCAUGGUUUCAUUAUUAAAGGAUUCCGGUAAAGGAUGGGGAUGCGUUCCAUUAGGUUGUUGGUGAGGUAACGGCUCACCAAGCCUUCGAUGGAUAGGGGUUCUGAGAGGAAGGUCCCCCACAUUGGAACUGAGACACGGUCCAAACUCCUACGGGAGGCAGCAGUGAGGAAUAUUGGUCAAUGGGCGCUAGCCUGAACCAGCCAAGUAGCGUGAAGGAUGAAGGCUCUAUGGGUCGUAAACUUCUUUUAUAUAAGAAUAAAGUGCAGUAUGUAUACUGUUUUGUAUGUAUUAUAUGAAUAAGGAUCGGCUAACUCCGUGCCAGCAGCCGCGGUAAUACGGAGGAUCCGAGCGUUAUCCGGAUUUAUUGGGUUUAAAGGGAGCGUAGGUGGACUGGUAAGUCAGUUGUGAAAGUUUGCGGCUCAACCGUAAAAUUGCAGUUGAUACUGUCAGUCUUGAGUACAGUAGAGGUGGGCGGAAUUCGUGGUGUAGCGGUGAAAUGCUUAGAUAUCACGAAGAACUCCGAUUGCGAAGGCAGCUCACUGGACUGCAACUGACACUGAUGCUCGAAAGUGUGGGUAUCAAACAGGAUUAGAUACCCUGGUAGUCCACACAGUAAACGAUGAAUACUCGCUGUUUGCGAUAUACAGUAAGCGGCCAAGCGAAAGCAUUAAGUAUUCCACCUGGGGAGUACGCCGGCAACGGUGAAACUCAAAGGAAUUGACGGGGGCCCGCACAAGCGGAGGAACAUGUGGUUUAAUUCGAUGAUACGCGAGGAACCUUACCCGGGCUUAAAUUGCAGUGGAAUGAUGUGGAAACAUGUCAGUGAGCAAUCACCGCUGUGAAGGUGCUGCAUGGUUGUCGUCAGCUCGUGCCGUGAGGUGUCGGCUUAAGUGCCAUAACGAGCGCAACCCUUAUCUUUAGUUACUAACAGGUUAUGCUGAGGACUCUAGAGAGACUGCCGUCGUAAGAUGUGAGGAAGGUGGGGAUGACGUCAAAUCAGCACGGCCCUUACGUCCGGGGCUACACACGUGUUACAAUGGGGGGUACAGAAGGCAGCUAGCGGGUGACCGUAUGCUAAUCCCAAAAGCCUCUCUCAGUUCGGAUCGAAGUCUGCAACCCGACUUCGUGAAGCUGGAUUCGCUAGUAAUCGCGCAUCAGCCACGGCGCGGUGAAUACGUUCCCGGGCCUUGUACACACCGCCCGUCAAGCCAUGGGAGCCGGGGGUACCUGAAGUACGUAACCGCAAGGAUCGUCCUAGGGUAAAACUGGUGACUGGGGCUAAGUCGUAACAAGGUAGCCGUACCGGAAGGUGCGGCUGGAACACCUCCUUU